rnacentral:rRNA from 1 species
GGUUAAGCGACUAAGCGUACACGGUGGAUGCCCUGGCAGUCAGAGGCGAUGAAGGACGUGCUAAUCUGCGAAAAGCGUCGGUAAGGUGAUAUGAACCGUUACAGCCGGCGAUGUCCGAAUGGGGAAACCCAGUGCAAUUCGUUGCACUAUCGUUAACUGAAUACAUAGGUUAACGAGGCGAACCGGGGGAACUGAAACAUCUAAGUACCCCGAGGAAAAGAAAUCAACCGAGAUUCCCCCAGUAGCGGCGAGCGAACGGGGAGCAGCCCGGAGUCUGAAUCAGCUUGUGUGUUAGUGGAAGCGUCUGGAAAGUCGCAGGGUACAGGGUGAUACUCCCGUACACUAAAACACACAGGUUGUGAACUCGAAGAGUAGGGCGGGACACGUGGUAUCCUGUCUGAAUAUGGGGGGACCAUCCUCCAAGGCUAAAUACUCCUGACUGACCGAUAGUGAACCAGUACCGUGAGGGAAAGGCGAAAAGAACCCCGGCGAGGGGAGUGAAAAAGAACCUGAAACCGUGUACGUACAAGCAGUAGGAGCCCACUAGUUGGGUGACUGCGUACCUUUUGUAUAAUGGGUCAGCGACUUAUAUUCUGUAGCAAGGUUAACCGAAUAGGGGAGCCGCAGGGAAACCGAGUCUUAACUGGGCGUUAAGUUGCAGGGUAUAGACCCGAAACCCGGUGAUCUAGCCAUGGGCAGGUUGAAGGUUGGGUAACACUAACUGGAGGACCGAACCGACUAAUGUUGAAAAAUUAGCGGAUGACUUGUGGCUGGGGGUGAAAGGCCAAUCAAACCGGGAGAUAGCUGGUUCUCCCCGAAAGCUAUUUAGGUAGCGCCUCGUGAACUCAUCUUCGGGGGUAGAGCACUGUUUCGGCUAGGGGGUCAUCCCGACUUACCAACCCGAUGCAAACUACGAAUACCGAAGAAUGUUAUCACGGGAGACACACGGCGGGUGCUAACGUCCGUCGUGAAGAGGGAAACAACCCAGACCGCCAGCUAAGGUCCCAAAGUCAUGGUUAAGUGGGAAACGAUGUGGGAAGGCCCAGACAGCCAGGAUGUUGGCUUAGAAGCAGCCAUCAUUUAAAGAAAGCGUAAUAGCUCACUGGUCGAGUCGGCCUGCGCGGAAGAUGUAACGGGGCUAAACCAUGCACCGAAGCUGCGGCAGCGACGCUUAUGCGUUGUUGGGUAGGGGAGCGUUCUGUAAGCCGUUGAAGGUGGCCUGUGAGGGUUGCUGGAGGUAUCAGAAGUGCGAAUGCUGACAUAAGUAACGAUAAUGCGGGUGAAAAACCCGCACGCCGGAAGACCAAGGGUUCCUGUCCAACGUUAAUCGGGGCAGGGUGAGUCGACCCCUAAGGCGAGGCCGAAAGGCGUAGUCGAUGGGAAACAGGUUAAUAUUCCUGUACUUGGUGUUACUGCGAAGGGGGGACGGAGAAGGCUAUGUUGGCCGGGCGACGGUUGUCCCGGUUUAAGCAUGUAGGCGGAUGUUCCAGGUAAAUCCGGAACGUCACUAACGCUGAGGUGUGAUGACGAGGCACUACGGUGCUGAAGUGACAAAUGCCCUGCUUCCAGGAAAAGCCUCUAAGCAUCAGGUAACAUCAAAUCGUACCCCAAACCGACACAGGUGGUCAGGUAGAGAAUACCAAGGCGCUUGAGAGAACUCGGGUGAAGGAACUAGGCAAAAUGGUGCCGUAACUUCGGGAGAAGGCACGCUGAUGGUAGGUGAAGCGACUUGCUCGUGGAGCUGAAAUCAGUCGAAGAUACCAGCUGGCUGCAACUGUUUAUUAAAAACACAGCACUGUGCAAACACGAAAGUGGACGUAUACGGUGUGACGCCUGCCCGGUGCCGGAAGGUUAAUUGAUGGGGUUAUCCUCACGGAGAAGCUCUUGAUCGAAGCCCCGGUAAACGGCGGCCGUAACUAUAACGGUCCUAAGGUAGCGAAAUUCCUUGUCGGGUAAGUUCCGACCUGCACGAAUGGCGUAAUGAUGGCCAGGCUGUCUCCACCCGAGACUCAGUGAAAUUGAACUCGCUGUGAAGAUGCAGUGUACCCGCGGCAAGACGGAAAGACCCCGUGAACCUUUACUAUAGCUUGACACUGAACACUGGUCCUUGAUGUGUAGGAUAGGUGGGAGGCUUUGAAGUGUGGACGCCAGUCUGCAUGGAGCCGUCCUUGAAAUACCACCCUUUAAUGGCUGGUGUUCUAACGUGGGCCCGUAAUCCGGGUUGCGGACAGUGUCUGGUGGGUAGUUUGACUGGGGCGGUCUCCUCCUAAAGAGUAACGGAGGAGCACGAAGGUCAGCUAAUCCUGGUCGGACAUCAGGAGGUUAGUGCAAUGGCAUAAGCUGGCUUGACUGCGAGCGUGACGGCGCGAGCAGGUGCGAAAGCAGGUCAUAGUGAUCCGGUGGUUCUGAAUGGAAGGGCCAUCGCUCAACGGAUAAAAGGUACUCCGGGGAUAACAGGCUGAUACCGCCCAAGAGUUCAUAUCGACGGCGGUGUUUGGCACCUCGAUGUCGGCUCAUCACAUCCUGGGGCUGAAGUAGGUCCCAAGGGUAUGGCUGUUCGCCAUUUAAAGUGGUACGCGAGCUGGGUUUAGAACGUCGUGAGACAGUUCGGUCCCUAUCUGCCGUGGGCGCUGGAGAAUUGAGGGGGGCUGCUCCUAGUACGAGAGGACCGGAGUGGACGCAUCACUGGUGUUCGGGUUGUCAUGCCAAUGGCAUUGCCCGGUAGCUAAAUGCGGAAGAGAUAAGUGCUGAAAGCAUCUAAGCACGAAACUUGCCCCGAGAUGAGUUCUCCCUGACUCCUUGAGAGUCCUGAAGGAACGUUGAAGACGACGACGUUGAUAGGCCGGGUGUGUAAGCGCAGCGAUGCGUUGAGCUAACCGGUACUAAUGAACCGUGAGGCUUAACCUU